ensembl:lncRNA
UCUUGAGCUGGGAAACUUGGCUCUUCUGUCUUCCUGACUACAUCUGGACACUGGAUACGCCAGAAACCCUCACGGUCAUGGCUAGUGUUCUCCUAUGGAGGUGGAACGUGGAAAAAAGCUCGCGACUGGGGUCGAGGGUCUCGAAAUCCCACUAGAAUUAGGCGCCGCCUGCCAAUAAGGCUGUGAGAAGCCACCGCAAUAUGGGGAGCCACGACCCUGUCCAUGCGGGGAACCUGGAGCCAGCCUCCGGAGAGCCCACUCAGGCCGCCCUCUUUAUCUCCAUGGAGCGCACAGUCCGCGCACCUCUCCUUAAAUAUGCAAAUAUUGCUUCCUGAGGAGUAGGGCUGGAAGGCCUUCCGCAUUAAAGGCAGCGCUUACUGCUCCCAGCUGGAGGUCAAGUGAUGCGGUCAGAAGAGUCUCCAGUUGAGACGCUGCGCGUCUCGGUUUCCUCGUCUGCGCAAAGGGCACUCCCCAGACGACGCGGCCUUGAAGGACCAAGGGGCGCCGGGAAAGGUUUGGCCUUGUCGGAGCAUGCCAACAGACAGCAGAAUCACCAGCUACAUUUGCUAAGAGAGAUUGUGCCAAACUGAUGCACUUGACCGCCCGAGGAAACAACUCCCUGCUCUUCCAGGAAAAGGAGACCAAGAAAGACAAGCUACAGGGGCCAUCCUCGGAACACAACUUCGCAAAGUGCUGGCUGGCAGCCUGGUCUCCAGAAGUCACGCUGACUUUAUCCUUUUAUGGGUAUAGAGAACGAUCCUUUUAUGGAUUGCCUCAGCCCCACUCCCCACGUCCUGCCAUCUUGAAUUCCUGGUCAGCAUUUGCCCUCCAGAGAAAGGUUGAACCUCCCGAGGCUGAGGUAACCCAUAGCUAGUCUGUGCUGUCCAGAAGAUGGCAUGGGGUCCCACAAAGGAGGUACAAUCUCACGCAGCCAAAGGAGUCUUUACGGAUGAAACCUGAACGGGACAGAGAGAGCUUUGACCUUCUGCCUAACACGUUGAGUCAGCUGGUAGUUGAGUUCGGUUGGUUGGCUGUGUCUCAGAUGUCAGUAGGAGACGAAGCAAAGAUGUUCUGCUUGCUGAAGUUUCCUUUCUCCAUGGACCAGAUGUUCUUUUUGGAAAGAGCCCUGGAUUUGGAAUCGCAAAAACCUGGAUUUAAACCCUUUUCUGUCAUUUACCCUAGUGACCUCCCUAAGCCCAAUGCCCUCGCCUAACCAGUGAAAAUCUCACAGUCCCAGCUGGUAAAUGGCAGAGCUUGGAUUUGAAUCCAGGACUCUUGACUCCACCUCCACCUGCAGUCGAAUAUAGAUGGCAAAGAGAUGUCUAAACUGCACGCAAAAGGGCAGGCUUGGUAAAUGUGAACACCUCCUCCGGUGGCUGAAAGCCAGGAAGGAGUGAGAGAGCAGAUUGAGAGAGCAGACGCUAAUGUUCCCCAUUAAUCAAGGCAGAGUGUGUGCUCUGUUGCCCUUAAGAGGGCUUAGGACUUGGAAAUUGCUUCUGCUUCACAGCCUGUCUCUGGCACAGCCUGGGCUAGAGCCCUGGGGGUACUGGAGACACUGCCCAGAUACGUGGUCUGCUCACCUACACCCUCGGCCCGACUCCUUUCAUGGCCCUUCCAUUUCACAACCGUCC